UUUUUUUUCAACCAUUAGGAAGUAGCUUUC
rnacentral:piRNA from 1 species